AUUACCAGUUUGUUGUUCAUUGCGCUGCGUGUUUUUUUUUUACAAGAGCGAGAAUAUUUGAAACACGCUGCGCAAUGAACAGCAAACUGGUAAU
rfam:Operophtera brumata OBRT01_Sc12776, whole genome shotgun sequence.